rnacentral:rRNA from 1 species
AGUGAACGCUGGCGGUAGGCCUAACACAUGCAAGUCGAACGGCAGCACAGUAAGAGCUUGCUCUUACGGGUGGCGAGUGGCGGACGGGUGAGGAAUACAUCGGAAUCUACUUUUUCGUGGGGGAUAACGUAGGGAAACUUACGCUAAUACCGCAUACGACCUACGGGUGAAAGCAGGGGAUCUUCGGACCUUGCGCGAUUGAAUGAGCCGAUGUCGGAUUAGCUAGUUGGCGGGGUAAAGGCCCACCAAGGCGACGAUCCGUAGCUGGUCUGAGAGGAUGAUCAGCCACACUGGAACUGAGACACGGUCCAGACUCGUACGGGAGGCAGCAGUGGGGAAUAUUGGACAAGGGGCGGAAGCCUGAUCCAGCCAUUCCGCGUGGGUGAAGAAGGCCUUCGGGUUGUAAAGCCCUUUUGUUGGGAAAGAAAAGCAGCAGGUUAAUACCCCGCUGUUCUGACGGUACCCAAAGAAUAAGCACCGGCUAACUUCGU